rnacentral:lncRNA from 1 species
UUAGACAUGCCAUUGGACCACAUGUCCACCAGCUUAGGCCAAGCGCGCGCUGAUUCAAACUAUAACAUGGAUCGAUUCUUAGUUACAGCAUUUUCACAUGAGCCUUGUGUAUUUUUUUUCUAUUAUGUCAUGCCUUGCUUCACCAUGCCAUUUCAUUUUUUUAAUUUUUUCAUGCCAUUAGAAAAUUCAUAACUUCAUAACCAUAAGUCCAAUUGAGAUGAAAUUUUUUGUGCCAUGAUCCUUGCC